UCUCUUUUCGGACUCAGCCCGCCUGCACCCAGGUGAAAUAAACAGCCGUGUUGCUCACACAAAGCCUGUUUGGUGGUCUCUUCACAUGGACUCCAGUGAAACUUUCCAUUAGGGAGACACAACAGGUUGGCCUGGCAGGAUUUCAUAUCAGGGAGGCCCCAGGUAUGAGCUGACAUGCACUGGUUGGCAUUCAUGUCCUGACACAUGAUCAUAAAAAAUUUUUUUAGAAAACGUGGGUGAUGAGCUGCACUGCACCUUAAGGACCCAGGAGGAUGGGAAGCCAGGGAUACUUGGGUUUCCCUCCCACUCAGCACCUUUUCUUAGGGUCUCUUUUCAGCUCAAGCCACAAGGACUGUAGGCGUGAUUUCAGUUGGGAGACAUCCCCCAUUGGAUGGCACUGGAGUUGAAGAGGGGAAGAAGGCAAUAGAAGUGAGGAAGAGCUGGACUGUACUGCUGCCAUCUCGGCUCAUUGCAACCUCCCUGCCUGAUUCUCCUGCCUCAGCCUGCCUAGUGCCUGCAAUUGCAGGCGCGCACCGCCACGCCUGACUGGUUUUCGUAUUUUUUGGGUGGAGACGGGGUUUCGCUGUGUUGGCCGGGCUGGUCUCCAGCUCCUAACCGUGAGUGAUCCGCCAGCCUCGGCCUCCCGAGGUGCUGGGAUUGCAGACGGAGUCUCCUUCACUCAGUGCUCAAUGGUGCCCAGGCUGGAGUGCAGUGGCGUGAUCUCGGCUCGCUACAACAUCCACCUCCCAGCAGCCUGCCUUGGCCUCCCAAAGUGCCGAGAGUGCAGCCUCUGCCCCGCCGCCACCCCGUCUGGGAAGUGAGGAGCGUCUCUGCCUGGCCGCCCAUCGUCUGGGAUGUGAGGAGCCCCUCUGCCUGGCUGCCCAGUCUGGAAAGUGAGGAGCGUCUCUGCCCAGCCGCCACCCCAUCUAGGAAGUGAGGAGCGCCUCUUCCCAGCCGCCAUCCCAUCUAGGAAGUGAGGAGCGUCUCUGCCCGGCCGCCCCGUCUAAGUGAGGAGACCCUCUGCCUGGCAACCGCCCUGUCUGAGAAGUGAGGAGCCCCUCCGCCCAGCAGCCGCCCCGUCUGAGAAGUGAGGAGCCCCUCCGCCCGGCAGCCACCCCGUCUGGGAAGUGAGGAGCGUCUCCGCCCGGCAGCCACCCCAUCCGGGAGGGAGGUGGGGGGGUCAGCCCCCCGCCCGGCCAGCCGCCCCAUCCGGGAGGUGAGGGGCGCCUCUGCCCAGCCGCCCCUACUGGGAAGUGAGGAGCCC
rnacentral:lncRNA from 1 species